rnacentral:rRNA from 1 species
CCUACGGGCGGCAGCAGUGAGGAAUAUUGGUCAAUGGGCGCAAGCCUGAACCAGCCAAGUCGCGUGAAGGAUGAAGGCCCUACGGGUUGUAAACUUCUUUUGUAAAGGAAUAAAGUUAGGCACGUGUGCCUUUUUGUAUGUACUUUAUGAAUAAGGAUCGGCUAACUCCGUGCCAGCAGCCGCGGUAAUACGGAGGAUCCGAGCGUUAUCCGGAUUUAUUGGGUUUAAAGGGAGCGUAGAUGGGUUGUUAAGUCAGUUGUGAAAGUUUGCGGCUCAACCGUAACAGUGCAAUUGAUACUGGCAGUCUUGAGUACAGGUGAGGUAGGCGGAAUUCGUGGUGUAGCGGUGAAAUGCUUAGAUAUCACGAAGAACUCCGAUUGCGAAGGCAGCUUACUAACCUGCAACUGACAUUGAUGCUCGAAAGCGUGGGUAUCAAACAGGAUUAGAUACCCUUGUAGUC